GAAAACAGUGAUUUAAAGGAAGCUCCAAAAAUGACUUGUCAGGGAAAUGGUCCAUAUAUAUAGAAGCCACAAAGAUGCUCGCGUUAUAAAACAGAGAUCCCCUGAGCAGACCUUGCAUGGAGACUGAAUGACUUUUCAUCUCUCAAGAGGGUGGUCCCUUCAGUGCAGUGCUGAAUUAGUCCUUUGGAAUCCCUGAAUGGGACCAAGGGAAGAGGAGAUGGGAACAAGAAGGUGGGAAGGGAAGGAGAGCGAAUGAGAAGUAGACGAAGGAGAAAAGAGGAGAAGCAAUGGAUGCAGGGAGCUAUCCCACAAAUACCUUACUUAGAGGGGAAAGCCACUACAGACUACUGAAACCUGCCAAAUUCCAGUGCAUCCUACCCAGAAUUCCUACUUCCAGAGGACAUUACGCUGGUUGGAAUGAGACCAUAAUGGCAUCCCAGUCACAAUGAGAGGCUUCAGAAUUCAUGGAAUAUGACACAAAUGCAGUUCACAUGCUUCAGCAAUUCCUGAGCCUUUUGCUGCAGCCACACUGUGUGAGGCGCUCCUGUUGAUGUCAGAGGGAGUUCCAUGUAUGGAGCAACUACAGGAUCAGAUCUCUAUGAGCAUUACUGUUGAGGGGAAAAUAAUGUGCCAGGUCAGAAUCUCAAUGGCCCUUUAUGCAGCUCCAGCAGUGCAAAAGGGCCAUGUAGUUGGCUUAACUGCCCUCCAGAUC